GAUGAACGCUGGCGGCGUGCCUAAUACAUGCAGGUCGAGCGAACGGACGAGAAGCUUGCUUCUCUGAUGUUAGCGGCGGACGGGUGAGUAACACGUGGAUAACCUACCUAUAAGACUGGGAUAACUUCGGGAAACCGGAGCUAAUACCGGAUAAUAUUUUGAACCGCAUGGUUCAAAAGUGAAAGACGGUCUUGCUGUCACUUAUAGAUGGAUCCGCGCUGCAUUAGCUAGUUGGUAAGGUAACGGCUUACCAAGGCAACGAUGCAUAGCCGACCUGGGAGGGUGAUCGGCCACACUGGAACUGAGACACGGUCCAGACUCCUACGGGAGGCAGCAGUAGGGAAUCUUCCGCAAUGGGCGAAAGCCUGACGGAGCAACGCCGCGUGAGUGAUGAAGGUCUUCGGAUCGUAAAACUCUGUUAUUAGGGAAGAACAUAUGUGUAAGUAACUGUGCACAUCUUGACGGUACCUAAUCAGAAAGCCACGGCUAACUACGUG
rnacentral:rRNA from 1 species